rnacentral:lncRNA from 1 species
UUGUUCCAAGACCUCCGGUUUUGUGCAUCAAUAUUUGGCGCCGUCUGUGGGAAUCGAUACGAAAAGUUGUGUCGGUUCUCUUUCAUUUUUUCACCUCCACCGUGAAUCUGCAGAAACUCAAGAACCAUGCAGUACGUAUCCCAUUCUCAACCACAAACUUGUAGCAAAGCAAGAUAUUUGCACAUUAUCUAUAACCCAAGAUCCCAAACAAAGAUGACAACCAAAUCCAAAACAUCAGAUCAGAGAACCAAAUCAUGAAGCCACCACUAAGAUUGAAACU